rnacentral:rRNA from 1 species
GCAGCGAUUUCUGAGUGGUUGGAGCAUCAAGCCCACUGGAAACUGCAACCACGUUCCAGUUCUGUCGGACGCAGCAGUUGGGAAUACUGCCCAACGGCCAAGCCUGAUGCAAGCAUGUGCUUGUAGAAGCAUGCUUUCGGAUGUAAUUCACUUCAGCGGGGAGGAAGGGAGUAUAGUAUUCCUUGCUAAUGCCGUUACCGGCAGAAGAAGCACCGACUAAUUCCGGGCAGCAGCCGCGUAUACGGUGGGUGCAAGCGUUAAUAGUAAUUACUGGCGUACAAGCGGCCGCAGGCGGUUUGUUAAGUCAGAUGUGAAAUCCCCGGGCUCAACUUGGGACCUGCAUGUGAUACUGGCAAGCUUGAGUCUCGUAGAGGGGGCGUAGAAUUCCAGGUGUAGCGGUGAAAUGCGUAGAGAUCUGGAGGAAUACCGGUGGCGAAGGCGGCCCCCUGGACGAAGACUGACGCUCAGGUGCGAAAGCGUGGGGAGCAAACAGGAUUAGAUACCCUGGUAGUCACGCGUAAACGAUGUCGACUUGGAGGUUGUGCCCUUGAGGCGUGGCUUCCGGAGCUAACGCGUUAAGUCGACCGCCUGGGGAGUACGGCCGCAAGGUUAAAACUCAAAUGAAUUGACGGGGGCCCGCACAAGCGGUGGAGCAUGUGGUUUAAUUCGAUGCAACGCGAAGAACCUUACCUGGUCUUGACAUCCACGGAAGUUUUCAGAGAUGAGAAUGUGCCUUCGGGAACCGUGAGACAGGUGCUGCAUGGCUGUCGUCAGCUCGUGUUGUGAAAUGUUGGGUUAAGUCCCGCAACGAGCGCAACCCUUAUCCUUUGUUGCCAGCGGUCCGGCCGGGAACUCAAAGGAGACUGCCAGUGAUAAACUGGAGGAAGGUGGGGAUGACGUCAAGUCAUCAUGGCCCUUACGACCAGGGCUACACACGUGCUACAAUGGCGCAUACAAAGAGAAGCGACCUCGCGAGAGCAAGCGGACCUCAUAAAGUGCGUCGUAGUCCGGAUUGGAGUCUGCAACUCGACUCCAUGAAGUCGGAAUCGCUAGUAAUCGUGGAUCAGAAUGCCACGGUGAAUACGUUCCCGGGCCUUGUACACACCCCCCAUCUCACCAUGGGAGUGGCUUGCAAAAGAAGU